UGCGGGUGCGCAUCUGGUGCGGAGUAGGAGGUAGGAUGUGGGCUGUGAGUGCCAUGAAUUGUGUGGGGCCAAGCAGGGGAAAGGUGUGUAGGAACUUGGUGUGUGUGUGCAGUAGCUGAGCCACGGCCACCGGGUUGAGCAGCUUGGCUUGGCUGGAGCUAAGAGCCAGACACACCACUGUGUGGAGGUGGGUGAUGUCUUCCUGUGCUACAAGGUGAAUAAAUAAGCUCCUCACCUCUCGCGGAACACUCGGGAACACAUCAACAGGGGUCCAAGCCGCCCUGCUGGGAGGCUUCUCUUCAAGAGUUCUGGGUGCCAGAGUGGAAGGCAUUUUCCCAUCAACUGGAGAGAGACGAAACAUCAGAGACCAGGAGGCUGAGGAGAAAGCAGCUGUCCCAGGUGCCUCAACUAUCAGAGAAGGGUCAGCGCCACGUGGCUGCCAGCAUCUUUGAGAAAAUCAUUGGCAACCG
rnacentral:lncRNA from 1 species